rnacentral:rRNA from 1 species
GUGGGGAAUCUUGCGCAAUGGGCGAAAGCCUGACGCAGCCAUGCCGCGUGAAUGAUGAAGGUCUUAGGAUUGUAAAAUUCUUUCACCGGGGACGAUAAUGACGGUACCCGGAGAAGAAGCUCCGGCUAACUUCGUGCCAGCAGCCGCGGUAAUACGAAGGGGGCUAGCGUUGCUCGGAAUUACUGGGCGUAAAGGGCGCGUAGGCGGACAGCUUAGUCAGAGGUGAAAGCCCAGGGCUCAACCUUGGAAUUGCCUUUGAUACUGGCUGUCUUGAGUUUGGGAGAGGUGAGUGGAACUCCGAGUGUAGAGGUGAAAGUCGUAGAUAUUCGGAAGAACACCAGUGGCGAAGGCGACUCACUGGCCCGUUACUGACGCUGAGGCGCGAAAGCGUGGGGAGCAAACAGGAUUAGAAACCCGUGUAGUCC